CUUUGGUGAUUUAGCUGUAUG
rnacentral:miRNA from 1 species